CAAAACACCACCAUCGGUUGNGGUCGUCCUUGGCGUCUCGGUUUCGGCCGGGGCGCGGGGACGGUUAACCCGGUGGCACCGGUGAAU
rnacentral:rRNA from 1 species